rnacentral:lncRNA from 10 species
AACAAAUGAGGCUUCCUGCAGUCACUAAGGAUCACGAUUCUAAAUAAAUCUGAGAAGCUCAGCAAUAGAGGUCGCCCCCUCCCCCGGGCGGAGUCCUUGAUAUCUGAAACAAGGCUUCACAUCAUCUGGCAUUAAACUAUGGGGCUGCUUGAAGGCAGAAUUUGUCUUAUUCUGAUGUAGGAUGACCAAAACAUCUGGAGAAACAAAUUGGGGUGAGCCCUCUCCAAGCGUGUUAAUAAAAUACUAGUUGUCAGCAUAAGACAGACAACAAGGCAAGGCCCAGAAGCCACUUGCUCCACAUCUGCAGUUACAAGGCAGAACAAAUUUGCCAGAACCAAGCUACAGGUUGAUCUCAAUUCUUUCUACAUCAAAUUUAGUUGGAUAUUGCUUAAGUGUAAAAUGGAGAAAUGGUGGUGUACAAAGUUGGAUAAUAUAGACCAGAAGGGAAAUCUACUUAGUGAAGGUGGGGAAACUGAGGCCUGGAGUAACCAGUCAUAUUGCUUCCAUGCUGGGAACUCUCCAAUGACAUAUCGCACAAUACAGAGCCAACCUCAAGUUCCCCACCAUAGACCACAAGGACUUGCAAGUUCUAACCUUG